ACGGAGGGUGCGAGCGUUGUCCGGAAUCACUGGGCGUAAAGGGCGCGUAGGCGGCUCAUUAAGUGGCUGGUGAAAGCCCCGGGCUCAACCUGGGAACUGCAUCCGAUACUGGCGGACUAGAGUGUGAUAGAGGAUGGCGGAAUUCCCGGUGUAGCGGUGAAAUGCGUAGAGAUCGGGAGGAACAUCCGUGGCGAAGGCGGCCAUCUGGAUCAACACUGACGUUGAGGCACGAAAGCGUGGGGAGCAAACAGGA
rnacentral:rRNA from 1 species